rnacentral:rRNA from 1 species
UGUAGGUGGCGCGCUAAGUCGGGUGUGAAAUUUCGGAGCUUAACUCCGAAACUGCAUUCGAUACUGGCGUGCUUGAGGACUGGAGAGGAGACUGGAAUUUACGGUGUAGCGGUGAAAUGCGUAGAUAUCGUAAGGAAGACCAGUGGCGAAGGCGGGUCUCUGGACAGUUCCUGACGCUGAGGCACGAAAGGGCCAGGGGAGGCAAAACG